rnacentral:misc_RNA from 1 species
GUAUGUUAGAAUUAUGUUAAUCCAUGUACAUUGCUUCAGACAAACUAGUUAAAGAUAGGUUUAAUUAAAAGCCAAACUCCCCGCACCUCAAAAGAGAGCGAGAAAAAUGACUAAAACAUUGCACACAAGGUGGGUAUGGAUUUUUAAAAGUGCCAUAAACACUCAUUAUGAAUGAUCCUUCCGCAGGUUCACCUACGGAAA